UUCAUAUUGUUGCAGGAUCAGGAUGAAAUGCUGCAUAUUGAAGGUUGCAAAACAAAGUUUCAGCCGCGGAACCGAGAGCUUGAAUUCGCAAAGCAAGAAUUCUCGAUUGCAGCAUGAAGUUUUCACGAUGCAGAGUGUAGAAAUUUAGGUGCCGAAUGAAGAAGAUGCAGAAUGAAGAAUGAAAAAUGAAGAGUGAAGAUUAAAAUCUCAAGAGUGAAGAAGAUUAAAAUCUGAAGAAUGAAGGGACAAUGUUGUGAAAAUGCCAGUGGGAUGAGUUUGUGAACCGUUGUAUCAAUGUGAUUUGCCAUGGUUGUCUUCAUAAGUUGGUGACUUAUUGGUAUAUGUUAAUCUGGCUUGAAAUUACAUGGUUGGAUUGGCUUUAUGUGGAAUGCUAUGGAAUUGGAUAUGGAUCGAAGCUUGGAAAUGCGAAAUUGAAAUGGAUUACUAUGCUUGGAAUCUAAUGUUAUGCUUAAUUUGAAUGGUUGCAUGUUGUAAUUUUUGAAAUUGGUGAAUUGGGUUUGUAACAAUGGAGACACCUUGCAUAUGGAAUAUCAAUGUAUGAAUAUGGAAUAUUAUUGUAUUGUUUUUAGUUUUGGAUUGAA